GACGAACGCUGGCGGCGUGCUUAACACAUGCAAGUCGAACGAGAGGCGAACGUGAGAGUUAUAUGUGGGUAACCCGCCCCCUUUUUGGGGUAAGCCUUGGAUACGAGGUCUAAUACUGCAUAAAGGGGCGUGGGCUAGCGGCUUAUCAGCUUGUUGGUGGGGUGAUGGACGGCCGAGGGGGUGACGGGUAGCCGGCCGGAGGGGGGGACGGGCCACAGAGGGGCUGAGAUGGGGCCGAGAUACCGACGGGAGGCAGCAGUGGGGGAGAUUGCAGAAUGGGCGAAAGCUGGAUGAAGCGACGCCGCGGGGGGGAUGAAGGCGGGCGGGUUGUAAUCCGCUUUCGCGAUCGAACGGGUAGUUGGAGAAGAAGCACCGGCUAACUACGUGCCAGCAGCCGCGGUAAUAC
rnacentral:rRNA from 1 species